AGUACCGAAUAUCUCGACAAUUUCCUAUGUCGUACGAUAGCAGAGAUGUGACCGUUAUUGACGUUGGAAGAUGAAUACAGCACAUGCUGCACAAAAUUUCAUUAGACAAAUCAUAUACCCUCAGAAAUAUAUUAAAUGUAUUAAUAAAUCCAUUUAACCGUGGUUAAAUUUCUCUAGUGAAGAUUAACCGUAAGAUUGUUAAAUCAUGGCAAUCAAUUUUCGCGGAUAUACCAACUUUUACCAUACAGUACUGUAUUCAAUAUGAAAAUAGUUACGAGUUUUCUCAAUAAAAAUUUAAUACGAGAAGAGAAGGUUAUAAUAAAUAUUAUAUCAAUUUUAGACGAUCACCCUUUUCAGCU